rnacentral:rRNA from 1 species
GAUGGACGCUGGCGGCGUGCCUAAUACAUGCCAGUCGAGCGAACAGACGAGGAGCUUGCUCCUCUGACGUUAGCGGCGGACGGGUGAGUAACACGUGGAUAACCUACCUAUAAGACUGGGAUAACUUCGGGAAACCGGAGCUAAUACCGGAUAAUAUAUUGAACCGCAUGGUUCAAUAGUGAAAGACGGUUUUGCUGUCACUUAUAGAUGGAUCCGCGCCGCAUUAGCUAGUUGGUAAGGUAACGGCUUACCAAGGCAACGAUGCGUAGCCGACCUGAGAGGGUGAUCGGCCACACUGGAACUGAGACACGGUCCAGACUCCUACGGGAGGCAGCAGUAGGGAAUCUUCCGCAAUGGGCGAAAGCCUGACGGAGCAACGCCGCGUGAGUGAUGAAGGUCUUCGGAUCGUAAAACUCUGUUAUUAGGGAAGAACAAAUGUGUAAGUAACUAUGCACGUCUUGACGGUACCUAAUCAGAAAGCCACGGCUAACUACGUG